AACGAACGCUGGCGGCGUGCCUAACACAUGCAAGUCGAACGGAAUGAGGGGCUUGCUCCUCAUUUGGUGGCGCACGGGUGAGUAACGCGUAGAUAAUCUGCCUGAUGAUCUGGGAUAACACUUCGAAAGAGGUGCUAAUACCUGAUAAGCCCACGAUGACCUUGGUUAUUGCGGGAAAAGGGGGGGACCUUUUGGCCUUCUGUCAUCAGAUGAGUCUGCGUACCAUUAGCUAGUUGGUAGGGUAAAGGCCUACCAAGGCGACGAUGGUUAGCUGGUCUGAGAGGAUGAUCAGCCACACUGGAACUGAGACACGGUCCAGACUCCUACGGGAGGCAGCAGUGGGGAAUUUUGCGCAAUGGGCGAGAGCCUGACGCAGCAACGCCGCGUGAGUGAUGAAGGCUUUCGGGUCGUAAAGCUCUGUCAAUGGGAAAGAAGUGUAUUGUGGCUAAUAUCCAUGAUACUUGACGGUACCCAUAAAGGAAGCACCGGCUAACUCCGUGCCAGCCGCCGCCGUAA
rnacentral:rRNA from 1 species